rnacentral:rRNA from 1 species
UACGUAGGGGGCAAGCGUUGUCCGGAAUCAUUGGGCGUAAAGCGCGUGUAGGCGGUCCGGUAAGUCCGCUGUGAAAGUCGGGGGCUCAACCCUCGGAUGCCGGUGGAUACUGUCGGGCUUGAGUACGGAAGAGGCGAGUGGAAUUCCUGGUGUAGCGGUGGAAUGCGUAGAGAUCGGGAAGAACAUCAGUGGCGAAGGCGGCCUGCUGGGCUGUUGCUGACGCUGAGGCGCGACAGCGUGGGGAGCAAACAGG